UACAGAGGGGGCAAGCGUUCUUCGGAAUUAUUGGGCGUAAAGGGCGCGUAGGCGGCCUGGCAAGUGGAAGGUGAAAUCCCUCGGCUUAACCGAGGAACUGCCCUCCAAACUGCCUGGCUUGAGUCCGGGAGAGGUGAGUGGAAUUCCCAGUGUAGCGGUGAAAUGCGUAGAUAUUGGGAGGAACACCAGUGGCGAAGGCGGCUCACUGGACCGGAACUGACGCUGAGGCGCGAAAGCGUGGGGAGCAAACGAG
rnacentral:rRNA from 1 species